UACGUAGGGGGCAAGCGUUGUCCGGAUUUAUUGGGCGUAAAGAGCGUGUAGGCGGUUAGGUAGGUCCGUUGUGAAAACUCGAGGCUCAACCUCGAGACGCCGAUGGAAACCAUCUAACUAGAGUCCGGAAGAGGAGAGUGGAAUUCCUGGUGUAGCGGUGAAAUGCGCAGAUAUCAGGAAGAACACCCGUGGCUAAGGCGGCUCUCUGGACUGUAACUGACACUGAGGCACGAAAGCGUGGGGAGCAAACAGG
rnacentral:rRNA from 1 species